rnacentral:rRNA from 1 species
UACGAAGGGUGCAAGCGUUGUUCGGAAUUACUGGGCGUAAAGGGCGCGUAGGCGGGUCCGUAUGUCGAUUGUGAAAGCCCUGGGCUUAACCUGGGAAUUGCAGUCGAAACUGCGGAUCUUGAGUGCUUGAGAGGAUGGCGGAAUUCCCGAUGUAGUAGUGAAAUACGUAGAUAUCGGGAAGAACACCUGAGGCGAAGGCGGCUAUCUGGCGAUGCACUGACGCUGAGGCGCGAAAGCGUGGGGAGCAAACAGG